AAUCUGGCGUGCUCAGUGCGUCCGAGUUGUAAUCUAUAGAGGCGUUUUCCGUGCCGGACUGUGUCUAAGUCCCUUGGAACAGGGUAUCAAAGAGGGUGAUAAUCCCGUACUUGACACAAUGACCGGUGCUCUGUGAUACGUCUUCUACGAGUCGAGUUGUUUGGGAAUGCAGCUCAAAAUGGGUGGUGAGUUCCAUCUAAAGCUAAAUAUUGGCGAGAGACCGAUAGCGAACAAGUACCGUGAGGGAAAGAUGAAAAGCACUUUGGAAAGAGAGUUAAACAGUACGUGAAAUUGUUGAAAGGGAAACGAUUGAAGUCAGUCGUGACUGAGAGGCUCAGCCGGUUCUGCCGGUGUAUUCCCCUCAGUCGGGUCAACAUCAGUUUUGUUCGGUGGAUAAGGGCAGCUGGAAGGUGGCACCUCCGGGUGUGUUAUAGCCAGCUGUCGCAUACAUCGAAUGAGACUGAGGAAUGCAGCUCGCCUUUAUGGCCGGGGUUCGCCCACGUCCGAGCUUAGGAUGUUGACAUAAUGGCUUUAAACGACCCGUCUU
rnacentral:rRNA from 1 species